GCACCGUUACCAUGGAAAUGUUCUCAACUGCACGUCUAGUGUUCUCUGAACGCCCCAUUUUUUUGUCAGCUGUUGUAAACAAAACAUUCUAAAACUAGCUAAUUUUAUCUCUCUUCUCAUGUCAACUGUUAUAGCUUCAUUAUUUGACAUCUAAACUCUAGAAAAUAUCAGUCAUGACAGGAAUAAAUCAACAUUAACUCCUGGCAAGCCUGUAUUUCCAGCCGCACCAUUGUCGAGUAGUGGAGCAGAAUACGAUCGUCUAAGGCUGGAGCCCUACUGGCAGCACUUGACUACAACCUUUGUAACCGUUGUCCAGCCUUGGAGAACGCGUAGGGCAACAAGAUUAUUUUGUCUUUCAGCUAAAGGAGACUACAAUAACAAGUCUCAAAAGUGACGUGUCCACGCAUUGAAAACUGCAAAGGAAUACACCUACAUCCCAGAACUUCAGAGAGCAGUGUUGAGAAGACUGGGCUCUCAAUAGGGUCUAGGAGAAUGAUCCAGAGAUCAGAUGACCAAAGACUCCAUGAAGUGGCACCAACAACUGAGCUGCUACAACUUCGAGGAGAUGUCACCACGCAGCACAGGAUACAGUUAGCAGCACACCUUUGAGCUGGGAAGGACUGGAGCAUUCCCUGUUGUCAGACUUGGUGCUUCCUGGAAAGUGUGAAAACCGACAGAGAACUCAGAAUUGUUUUUGAAAGAGGUGGGCCUACAAUCAAACAUAUAAAUAAGGGAAGUUUGUGUGGGAAACAAACUUGUGUGAGAAACAGUACUUGUGCAUUUAUCUAGCAUAUAGUCAUCAUUGUACUUUUGGAAUGGCUUUAGAAGAAUUUACUAAACUGUUAUUUUCCUGGAUAUCUACGCUCUUGACGGUUUACACUUCAAAUGAGCAGACCCACAGGUGGAUAGAUAUCCAGAAAGACGGACGGACUACCCUGGUGUAAAUGCAGUACAAAACAAGUCGGUCCGAUUAGACG